rnacentral:tRNA from 8 species
GGCGACAUAGCCAAGUGGUAAGGCAGAGGUCUGCAAAACCUCUAUUCCCCAGUUCAAAUCUGGGUGUCGCCUCCA